UGCGUAGGUGGUUAGGCAAGUCAGAUGUGAAAUCCCACAGCUCAACUGUGGAACUGCGUUUGAAACUGCUUAGCUUGAGUAUAUGAGAGGGAAGGGGAAUUCUAGGUGUAAGAGUGAAAUCUGUAGAUAUCUAGAGGAACACCAGCGGCGAAGGCGCCUUUCUGGCAUAUUACUGACACUGAGGCACGAAAGCGUGGGGAGCAAACAGGAUUAGAUACCCUGGUAGUCC
rnacentral:rRNA from 1 species